rnacentral:rRNA from 1 species
GACAGAGGAGCCAAGCGUUGUCCGGACUGACUGGGCGUAAAGCGCACGCAGGCGGCGCUGUGCGUGGGGUGUGAAAGCUCUUGGCUUAACUGAGAGAGGCCAUCCCAUACGGCAGCGCUCGAGCGGUGCAGAGGUCCGCGGAAUUGCCGGUGUAGUGGUGAAAUGCGUAGAGAUCGGGAAGAACAUCAGUGGCGAAGGCGGUCUGCUGGGCCGUUGCUGACGCUGAGGCGCGACAGCGUGGGGAGCAAACAGG